CAAGUCGAACGGUGAAGCCCAGCUUGCUGGGUGGAUCAGUGGCGAACGGGUGAGUAACACGUGAGUAACCUGCCCCUGACUCUGGGAUAAGCCUUGGAAACGAGGUCUAAUACCGGAUACGAGACGCUCGGGCAUCCGAAGUGUCUGGAAAGAUUUAUCGGUCAGGGAUGGACUCGCGGCCUAUCAGCUUGUUGGUGGGGUAGUGGCCCACCAAGGCGACGACGGGUAGCCGGCCUGAGAGGGCGACCGGCCACACUGGGACUGAGACACGGCCCAGACUCCUACGGGAGGCAGCAGUGGGGAAUAUUGCACAAUGGGCGCAAGCCUGAUGCAGCGACGCCGCGUGAGGGAUGAAGGCCUUCGGGUUGUAAACCUCUUUCAGCAGGGAAGAAGCGCAAGUGACGGUACCUGCAGAAGAAGCGCCGGCUAACUACGUGCCAGCAGCCGCGGUAAUACGUAGGGCGCAAGCGUUGUCCGGAAUUAUUGGGCGUAAAGAGCUCGUAGGCGGUUUGUCGCGUCUGCUGUGAAAACUCGAGGCUCAACCUCGGGCUUGCAGUGGGUACGGGCAGACUAGAGUGCGGUAGGGGUGACUGGAAUUCCUGGUGUAGCGGUGGAAUGCGCAGAUAUCAGGAGGAACACCGAUGGCGAAGGCAGGUCACUGGGCCGCAACUGACGCUGAGGAGCGAAAGCAUGGGGAGCGAACAGGAUUAGAUACCCUGGUAGUCCAUGCCGUAAACGUUGGGCACUAGGUGUGGGGCUCAUUCCACGAGUUCCGUGCCGCAGCAAACGCAUUAAGUGCCCCGCCUGGGGAGUACGGCCGCAAGGCUAAAACUCAAAGAAAUUGACGGGGGCCCGCACAAGCGGCGGAGCAUGCGGAUUAAUUCGAUGCAACGCGAAGAACCUUACCAAGGCUUGACAUACACCGGAAACUUCCAGAGAUGGUUGCCCCGCAAGGUCGGUGUACAGGUGGUGCAUGGUUGUCGUCAGCUCGUGUCGUGAGAUGUUGGGUUAAGUCCCGCACGAGCGCAACCCUCGUCCUAUGUUGCCAGCGGAUCAUGCC
rnacentral:rRNA from 1 species